GAGGCGGGCCCUGAGGUUGAUGCCUCUACAGCGCUACAGUCUGAGCUGCCCAGGUGGGCAUCGACCGGUUGGCUCUCCAGGCACGCUUCUGACUUUGGUAUGGCAGCAGCGGGCCCUUAAGUGUUCCCUAGUAGCGUCCAUAUCGUUUGUGGUCAUUGCUUGUGCGUGGAUGGUGGACUGACAGGACCCGGACCAGGACAAUGGACCGGCAAACGAUGAUCUCCGUAUGUCGCCAGGGGACGCUUUGCAGGUCAUCCCAUGGGCUAAGUGGUGGAUAUCCAGGUCCCAGCACCAAGGUGAGCACUACCUCUGAGCUUCUCUUCCUGACUCCAAUAGGGUGAACUCGUCUCAGUCUCCCCCAUCAUCAAAGCGGGGCCUUUGAUGUUUCCAAUGAUAGAGAGGCUGAUGUGAUGUCAUCCAUAAAUUCCACAGGCACUGUCCCUGCCCAACACCUCUGUUACCCUAGCCAGCUUGAUGGGCUGCGCGUGACUCCUGUUUAUGACGGCACCAAUCUGUCGGAGAGUGACCUUGAACUUCUGAUCCUUCUACUCCCACCUUCUAAAUUCUGGGAUUACAGACAUUUUCCUCCAAGCCUGGCUUACUCAGUAUGGGAACUGGAACACAAGGCUUUGUACACCAUAGACAGACAUUCUACCACUUAAUCUAUAGUCCCAGCCCUAACCUAAAGUAAUAUUUUAAAUUAUUUUCACAUUUUUGUUUUGGUUGUUUGGUCUGGUUUUUUGCUUUUGGUGUUUGUUUGUUUGGUUUGGUUGUUUUUCGAGACAGGGUUUCUCUGUGUAGCCCUGGCUAUCCUGGAACUCACUAUGUAGACCAGGCUGGCCUCGAACUCAGACUCACCUGCUUCUGCCUCCUGAAGCUGGGAUUAAAGGCAUGUGCCACCACCGCCCAGUUUAUUUUCACAUUUAAAAAAAAAAUUGCAAAACUAGUUUACUUCAAGGCCUCCACUAAAUUACCAUCUUAUGUAACAGAGUAGCAGACUUGUAGAGGCCUUGUCUAAAUCCCGAAUUCUUUGUCGUAGGUCUAAUUACGUUGAGAUGCCCCAUCUCCUUGGAGAUGUUUACGUAUUAAAUAGCACAGUUGCUGGUUCCCCUUUCCUCAGGACUCUUCAGAGUGGUCCUGGAGGCUCCAAGUUUCAAGCCUUGCUCAUUCAGCAUGGCUCCUAAGUCUUGAAACUGUUCUGUCCUCUUCCCUGCUUGCCAUCUUCUCCUGCCCCUUCGUGCUGUGACCUGCACUUUGUGGGGUUUGACCCCUCCCUUCCAUCCCCACCACCACCACCAGCCUUUUAAGGCACUCUUCCCAUUCACUCUGGGCUUCCAUCCGGGACAACCUUUUAUGACUUUGUCCAAAAUCCUUCAAACAAACACAUUUAUAAGGCCAGGCCAGGUCACUGCCAGACCCACAGGGCUGUCUCUCUCUCUCUCUCUCUCUCUCUCUCUCUCUCUCUCUCUCUCUCUCUCUCAAUUCAACUGUGCCUGGGCAGGUGUCUCACUCAGACAGGAUGUGACAGAGUGACCGGUUGGGGCUUGUUGGGUGGCAUGUUAGUAAGUGAAUGAGGCCCGCCUUGGGCACAGCAAAGGAAAAGACAUGAACCAAUGAAUAGAAGGCACAUACACUCUUUGUCCCACGUGUGACCAGAAGUGGGGAGAGGGCCAGAUGUCUAACAUUUACCAAACGUAUCCCAAAGCAUCUCUUUAUCAACUAGUGUCUCAAAGCAAACCUGUGCCUUCUGAGAUUAUAAAGAACCUUUGGUCUGCCUCGAGGUGUGAUGCCAAAGAGUCGAGGCAAACUCAGCAUUUAGAGCACAUCUGACUUCUCCCAUCACAAGGAAGGCAUUGGAAACUAAAGCAGUCGCCUACAUGGGAAGCCAGGCCCAAUGCCCUUCAUUAGAAAUAGAGUCCCUGUUUCCAAAGCCCAGUGAGAUUGGGGACCAAAGUGAUCCCCAGAUAAAGUGAAGGGUGUGUCAAAGUUGCACAGCUUCUCACUGGUGGCUCCAUAUUCCACAUUGUCACCAGGCUGAUUGCAGAGGGGCAGGGAGCAGAGUUGAAAGGCCAAGGUCUUUCUUACAGACCUGACACUUGCUUAGGAAAGUGAAUACGGGAGAGACCUGAGCCCCACCGACAUACUCAGAUUAGCUGAGGCCAGUAGGGACCGUGUGAGUGCUUUAAUCACCUGAGAGGCCUUUCCACAAGCUCUGAGGAAGUCUGAGGGUGAGGUCAGGUGAAGCAGAGGCAGCAGCAGAGGCAGGAGUCUGUCAGAAUGCUGGCUAGUAGGACUUCCAGUAACUCGGGCAUAUACUCUCCUGUGCACUUUAAGGCGAUUUCCUCUUCAGAGGCUAUAGACUGUCAAGCAAGGAGAUGACUCUUUAAAUGUUUGUCAUCUUCUACCUCUGAGAAAUCUCUCAGUGGGCUGGUGUGCCUUUCCCCCUGCUGUGUAAGGCAGCAGAUUUCCCACUGGGCAGUAGUUGACUCAGGUUUCUUCGUAGGUGUCCCUGUGCUGGGCCCUGUGUAAGAAGUGCAUGACUGAAUACGAAGCAGGAACAGUCGAAAGGGUCCCAGAACAUAAAUAGAACUUCUGUGCCAUUGAGGUGGCUCGGUGACGGACAGCACUUGCCAUCAACACUGAACCCCAGGAUCCACAUGGGAGGAGGACAGAACUGUGUCCCCAAAGUUGACAGGUGUACAGUGGGCGUGUGUCCCCUCCCUACCCCCUAAGGAAAUGUCCUUUCAGAAGAACCUGAUCCCGAUCCAAAGACUAGUGCCCACGGAGCUGCCAUAAUUGCACCUUUCUCUUAGAGGCUCUGUUCUGAAGUUCUGUCUAAUCAUUUUCAUGACAGUUUCACUGUGGAUCUGUGUGUAUUUCCAGGGAAUAUGAUUCUGAUUUUGUUUAACGUCUGGUCCUUGUAAAAGGAAACAGGUUGUUUGUUGUUUGCUUUUUGUUUUUUUUAACUUACUAUGUACCCCAAGCUAGUCUUGAACUCAGAAUGAUCCUCCUGCCUCAGCCUGCCAAGUGCUAGGAUUAUAUCGCAUCCCUCUAUGGUGUAUUUUUGGAAUCAGAAGUGACUUAUGGGGCUAUUGUAUCCAUUACAUCCAUUCUGUGAGCCAUUGGGGCUCCUGGCUUCCUGUUACUGACAUGAGUGUUUCUGAGCAUAGAGGUGUUCUCCCUUCUAGGUCAGGAGUCUCUAAAGAAGGCUGGCUGAUGAGGGAGACCUCUGGGUCUGCACAGCUGUCGUUAGCGUGCUACUACUGCCUCCUAGUGGUUAGUGUAGGAUAUGCUGGCACCCUGGAAUCAGCAAUACAGUUUCCUGGCUCCCACAACUCAGGACCCGCCCCCAACACACUCAAAGACUUGUCUGUCUCCUAAGCCAGGUUGGAAACCCCUGCCUUAAACACGUGGCUCAGGCCGGUGUACAAUGUUUAGUUUGCGAACUCUUCAGUGGCCUUGCCACCUCUUACCUCAGCUUCUCACUGUCUGCUUCCAGUCCUGGUUGUGGCUGCCUUUGCCUUUUCUAUUUAUUUUUACAGAUUUUCUACCCGCGAAAUGAUAUCUUCUGGUUUUCAUUUUCAUUUUCUGAGUGGUGGGGAAAUUAGAUGUUUUCACACUUAUGUUUCUUUUGUCCCCAUAAAUCUUUUUGUCCAUUUUCCUAUUGUGGCGGUAAUGGUGUUUCUUAAUAGUCGCUGGGAUCUUUUUCCUCCUGCAUACUCUUGAUUCUUGUGUCAUCGGAGGUGAAUUUUGGUAUAUGGUAAAGAAAGCCUUAAUUAGAAAGAAUUAAAAUAGUUUAAAUUUAUACAUUGAAGACUAU